CACCGCGGUUAUACGAAAGGCCCAAGUUGAUAGUUCUCGGCGUAAAGGGUGGUUAAGUUAUUCUAACUAUACUAAAGCCGAAUACCUCCAAAACUGUAAUACGUUCUCGGAGAAACGAAGCCCAACUACGAAAGUGGCUUUAAAAACCUGACCCCACGAAAGCUGAGAAA
rnacentral:rRNA from 1 species